rnacentral:rRNA from 1 species
UACCAGCACCCCGAGUGGUCGGGACGUUUAUUGGGCCUAAAGCAUCCGUAGCCGGUUCUACAAGUCUUCCGUUAAAUUCUUCGGCCUAACUGAAGGUGUGCGAGUGAUACUGGCGAACUAGAGGGUGGAAGAGAGAAGUGGAAUUCUCGGAGUAGCGGUAAAAUGCGUAGAUCUCGAGAGGAACACCAAUGGCGAAGGCAGCUUCUUGGUCCAUACCUGACGUUCAUGCACGAAAGCGUGGGGAGCAAACAGG